AUGUCCUGUAUGGCAAUGACUCUGAGAGCACAUAUUCGGGGUGGCCACCUUGGUCCCGAGGACACAGAGGUGCCUGUGUCUUCCUCCCUCCUGGACACAGGGGUUCACAGAGGCCACCAUCCCCUAGAGCAGCACAAAGCAGGUGUUUCCAAUCUUCUCCCUCCUGCCUGGGACUCCCCCCGCCCCCAGACCUAUUUUCAAGCAGUCCUCCCCAUUUCCUACCCCCAACCCAAUUGUUUGAAGCAUCUUUGGGCCCUGUUACCUGCAGUACCAAAAUUUUGUCUGUCCUUACCUUCUUCCAGACCUGAAGCCCAACAAGUCCCCCACAGGCCUCCACACUGUGCACUUCCUCUUUGCUGGUCUGCAGUGAGGCGUCUUUUGGUCGAGAUGAUUUCUGCUAAAAGAGGCCCCUCAAAUUUGUCAAGUGAGCCAAUGGAUAUACUUUUGAAUCCAUGCUACAAGCCAGGCCAUGAGGAAAAACAGCACGUGGACAUUGCAUGAAGUCGUGGGGAGUGGGGGUAGACGGGGAGAAGGACCCAAGGAGGGCACUGGGGUGAAAAUCCACUGUCAGUGCUGCGCAGUCAGCAUGAAAAGCUCAGAGCACAAACCCAAGAGGCACAGAGGAUGCAGGUUGGUGGGGGUCCAAUGACCUGCACGCCCUCACUAAGCAAUCGAGUUGAUGAGGCUUCUAGGAUCUUUAUAAGAAAACCAGUGGGAAAAGAAUGCCUGUCUUCCAGUGCCACAAAUAUCAAUGCUGCUUAAGGAUCCUUCCCCUUAGCAUGUGCACCACAAAAUGCAACCAAAACUUACAUUUAUGCCAUCAGAGCUGGGAUUUCUGAGAAUUCCAGCUCAGCUAAAUGACCUACUAUCUCUAUGUAAUUUCUGAUAACUUGUUUAACCUCCCAGAAUUGGUUUCCCUUCAUAAUUGCAAUAAGGAUUAAAUGAGAUAGUGCUUAAGACAUGCCCAGGCUAAGAGCUUGCUCAGUGAGGAGUGUUCCCACAGAUGAUGCUGCUGCUAACAAUGAUAGUUUCAUAUCUACUACAUAAGCAAAAGGAUCUGUGUACCAGAACCCAGAAACCGAAAAGUGGAGAAUGACAAUGGGCUCUUUACAUCUUGUCACAAACAAGCCAGAGCUGGGCAGAGAAUUAAAUUAUCAAACUGUGCUGGGAGCCUGAAGGUGAGGGGUGGAGGAUGAGGAGAAGAAAGCAGAUUUGGACAAGGGAAGCAUCAUCCAAGCUGGAGUUAGCCGUGGCAACAAAGUUCCUUAGAGAGAGCAGCAUCCUCAGAGAAGACAGUACCUCAGAGAGGGCAGCUUCCUGACGGGCAAAUGAUAGCUCUGCUAUAUUUCGGGUCCCCUAGAGCUUGUCACCAGUGCCCAAGUUCUAGGCCUCCAGUCUGCCUGGUGGUUGGUGGAGCUCAGGCCCUCCCCUUCAUCAUUUGGGCCAAAUGAGGAAAGAUGAACCUUUGCAGGGGUGGGGCUCCAGGAGACAGUGGCCAAGGGGACCAAUGAUUUUUCCACCUGAGUACUAAAACUAUAAAAAUACACAUGUUAAAUGAUGAUGGGAGUUUCUGCAGCUCCCAUGUUGAGGGCCUAUCAGGUUCCUCAUGACUGUCAGGUAUCUGUAAAACCGUCCUCAAGACCUCCAGUCAGAUAAUAUUGUGUGCCCUGAGCAAAUGGGAGCCAGACAGGAGAGAUGUGUUAAUUCACUGGGCAGCAGUCAGCCCUCUUCAGAGCUGGGUCUGGCCAAGGUCAUGCUGGGCUCAUUUUCUAAACUUUCCCGUGGUGACUCUUUUCAUGAAAGCUUGAAUUAACUUUUACUAGGCUGAUGAUAAGAGAAGCAAUUGUUCAGAAGCCAAAAAAAUAAAUAAAUAAAUAAAGUCAAGCAAGAGAACAGUAACUAUUUAUUUACUAUUUUUCUUUCUUUUUUUUUUCUAGGGCAUCAUCCGUGACAUAUGGAAGUUCCCAGGCUAAGGGUCGAAUUGGAGCUGCAGCCGCUGGCCUACACCACGGCCACAGCAACAUGGGAUCUGAGUUGAGUCUGCGACCUACACCACAGCUCAUGGCAACGCCCGGAUCCUUGAC
rnacentral:lncRNA from 9 species